UUUUCAGACCUGUGCAACGAUUUUGCCGGUCACCGGGUCAGGCGGGGAACCGAGCAGUCCAACCGUUAAUGUCGUGUGCCGCAGUUAUCUGGGAAGAA
rnacentral:SRP_RNA from 1 species